GAACGCUCUUGGGGUUUCGGCCGCAAGGGAGUGGCGGACGGGUGAGUAGCGCGUGGGAACCUGCCUUGGAGUGGGGGAUAACCGAGGGAAACUUCGGCUAAUACCGCAUACGCCCGCGGGGGAGACCUUGCGGGGAAAGAUUGAUCGCUCGGAGAGGGGCCCGCGUCGGAUUAGGUAGUUGGUGGGGUAACGGCCUACCAAGCCAUUGAUCCGUAGCUGGUCUGAGAGGAUGAUCAGCCACACUGGGACUGAGACACGGCCCAGACUCCUACGGGAGGCAGCAGUGGGGAAUAUUGGACAAUGGGCGCAAGCCUGAUCCAGCAAUGCCGCGUGAGUGAUGAAGGCCUUAGGGUUGUAAAGCUACUUUCGGCGGGGACGAUGAUGACGGUACCCGCAGAAGAAGCCCCGGCUAACUUAGUG
rnacentral:rRNA from 1 species